rnacentral:rRNA from 1 species
AUUGAACGCUGGCGGCAGGCUUAACACAUGCAAGUCGAGCGGGGGAAGGUAGCUUGCUACCCGACCUAGCGGCGGACGGGUGGGUAAUGCUUAGGAAUCUGCCUAUUAGUGGGGGACAACAUCUCGAAAGGGAUGCUAAUACAGCAUACGUCCUACGGGAGAAAGCAGGGAUCUUCGGACCUUGCGCUAAUAGAUGAGCCUAAGGCGGAUUAGCUAGUUGGUGGGGGAAAGGCCUACCAAGGCGACGAUCUGUAGCGGGUCUGAGAGGAUGAUCCGCCACACUGGGACUGAGACACGGCCCAGACUCCUACGGGAGGAAGCAGUGGGGAAUAUUGGACAAUGGGGGGAACCCUGAUCCAGCCAUGCCGCGUGUGUGAAGAAGGCCUUAUGGUUGUAAAGCACUUUAAGCGAGGAGGAGGCUACUUAGUUAAUACCUAGAGAUAGUGGACGUUACUCGCAGAAUAAGCACCGGCUAACUCUGUGCCAGCCGCCGCGGUAA